AAUAGAUACCCAGGUAGUCCACGCCGUAAACGGUGGGCGCUAGGUGUGGGGGGCUUUCCACGUCCUCUGUGCCGCAGCUAACGCAUUAAGCGCCCCGCCUGGGGAGUACGGCCGCAAGGCUAAAACUCAAAGGAAUUGACGGGGGCCCGCACAAGCGGCGGAGCAUGUGGCUUAAUUCGACGCAACGCGAAGAACCUUACCAAGGCUUGACAUGCAGGGAAAUCUCGUAGAGAUACGGGGUCCGCAAGGGCUCUGCACAGGUGGUGCAUGGUUGUCGUCAGCUCGUGUCGUGAGAUGUUGGGUUAAGUCCCGCAACGAGCGCAACCCUUGUCCUAUGUUGCCAGCGAGUAAUGUCGGGGACUCAUAGGAGACUGCCGGGGUCAACUCGGAGGAAGGUGGGGAUGACGUCAAGUCAUCAUGCCCCUUAUGUCUUGGGCUGCACACAUGCUACAAUGGUCGGUACAAAGGGCUGCGAGACCGCAAGGUGGAGCGAAUCCCGAAAAAGCCGGCCUCAGUUCGGAUUGGGGUCUGA
rnacentral:rRNA from 1 species